rnacentral:lncRNA from 1 species
GAAAAAUCGUAAAUCCCCAUUUGUUCAUAAUGUUACGUACAUCAUUGUAUUUCAUUCAUUAUAUUGCAGUGUACCUGCAUCGUACAUGUAGCUAUUGCUAUUGCUAUAUCAGCUAUUGUCGGGAUAAUGCAUGUAUGAGUCGGAAAAGAAAAAAUAUAAAACAUAAUAAAUAAAUAAAAAAAAAAACUACAAUCGUCAUACAUGUAUGACAAGCUUUUAAUUUAGUACGCCCAGAUAUCACUCGUAUAUCAUUUUUACAAAUAACACAUCAAACCUAACCAUUUGAUAGUCUCGUGAGAAUAAUUUACACGAAACUGUUUUUAAUAUUUAAUAAUCAUGUGAAAUGUAUCUUAAUAGGACAGAGUACUAAGGAGACAGAAAAUAUAAUGGACCAUGGUUAUUAUAUAUAAUUGGACCAUUACAUACAUUUAAAUAUAUGAUUAUUAUUUAUGAUUUCAAGC